rnacentral:rRNA from 1 species
UGCUGACGAGCGGCGGACGGGUGAGUAAUGUCUGGGGAUCUGCCUGAUGGAGGGGGAUAACUACUGGAAACGGUAGCUAAUACCGCAUAACGUCGCAAGACCAAAGAGGGGGACCUUCGGGCCUCUUGCCAUCGGAUGAACCCAGAUGGGAUUAGCUAGUAGGUGGGGUAAUGGCUCACCUAGGCGACGAUCCCUAGCUGGUCUGAGAGGAUGACCAGCCACACUGGAACUGAGACACGGUCCAGACUCCUACGGGAGGCAGCAGUGGGGAAUAUUGCACAAUGGGCGCAAGCCUGAUGCAGCCAUGCCGCGUGUGUGAAGAAGGCCUUCGGGUUGUAAAGCACUUUCAGCGAGGAGGAAGGCAUUGAGGUUAAUAACCUUGGUGAUUGACGUUACU